AGUCUUGAGAAAAUGUGUGGCGAUCAUGAAGCUGGCUUUCCCGGGGGAAGGCUUAUCCAUUGGACUCCAGAUGUGCUGACCCCUGUGAUUUCCCCAAAUGUGGGAAACUCGACUGCAUAAUUUGUGGUAGUGGGGGACUGUGUUCACGCUCUCCCCUG